UAUAUCGUUAAUCAGAAUUUUUCACGUUUUGCAGGAUUUUGCUGAAAAAUUAAGCGUGGAAAGAGAUGACUCGAUGGAAUUAAAUAAAACAGGAGAAGUAAUGCAGGAAGUCUCGAAAGAAAUAAGAAAAUUUGAUGAAGCCAAAACAGAUAUCGAUCGAUAUUCGUGGGAGAGCGAAUCCCUGAAAGAUGACGAUGAUGAUAAGAAAACUACAAAGUGUACAGAUAUCUUUGUCUAUUUAUUUAUAAAACUUCCAUCUGUCAUCUUCUCGUGCUGCAGAAGAAAAAAAUAACUGCUUAAAAAUGAAAAAGAAGAAACUGAGCUGUUGCAGUUUACUUCUUUUUAUUUCUCUAUAUUUUGAAAAAAUUUAAUUUCAAAAAGCGUUUCCAGUAAUUAUUCUAAAAUUCAAUCUAAGUU